rnacentral:lncRNA from 1 species
AUGCGCAGUGAGGCCUCGCAGCGGGAGCACCGCGGGUUCUCUGCAACUCCAGGAGGUCGGUUUCCCAGUGCGCGGUGGCAACUGAAGAGCGGGUUCCCCUCUGCAUUGACAAAAAAUCCUCCUGGAAGGGCCGGUGCCUCCUGCAGCGCCACGUGGGCGCCGGCUCUCGUCCCAGCUGCUCCUCUUCCCUUCCAGCUCUCUGCUGCGGGAAAGCAGAAGAUGCCCAGGUCCUCGGGCCGUGCACCCACGUGGGAGACCUGGAAGAAGCUCCUGGCUCCUUACCGGAGUCUCCACCUCGGUACCACGCUCGCGACAAAAUCCCACCCGGGAAGGCGGGAGCCCAGGGCCGCGCGCGCACGAGGGAGCCCACCCGCGACUCCAGAAGCUUCCGCCGCCCCGCCCCCUCCUGCGCACGCGGUCCCGCAGGCGAGGGGGCGGCGCAGGUCCGGUGGCCCCGGCCGCGUGGACACCGACGGGCAGGGACGCCGCCAUCUUGCGAACGCAGCGCCCGCGCUCCGCCACGGACCACGCGGGGAACACAGCGCUGCGGGCGGUCGCGCGAGGGACGUCCCCGCGAUGGAGGCGUGCGUGGGCUCCGGGGGGAGGGCGGAGGCCGGGAACCCGGGCCUGCUCGCCGUGGAGCCCAGCUGCUUCUGGGGCCCCUCACGCCACCCCUUCCCGGGCACGCGAGAGCCGCCGUCCACUCACCGCCCGAGAGAAACACCGCACAUCCGUCUCGUCUCCCUCUGCGUGGCCAGGCUGCGUGUCAGGUCGCCUUCCGGUCCCACGCCCGGCACCCACCGGCCGCCUGCCUCACGCGGGUUCCCGCCCACCGCGCGGGGGCGACGCUCGCGGCCUCACGCGGGUUCCCGCCCACCGCACGGGGGACGCUCGCAGCCUCACGCGGGUUCCCGCCCACCGCGCGGGGCGAGGCUCAUGGCCUCACGCGGGUUCCCGCCCAGCACGGGGCGACGCUCAUGCCUCACGCGGGUCCGACGCCCGCACAGCCUCCAGUUGAGGCGCCUGCACCCCGCAGCACAGGUCGCAAGGGCCCCUGGGGCCCCCGCAUGCGCACGCGCUGUUCGCGGCGCUGCGCGCGAAGCCCCGCUAGGCCCCUCCCGCAGCACCUGCCCGGCCCUGCCCCACCUUGCGACCCCGUCCCGGGGCGGGAAAGCCGGAAAUCAGCCUGCGCGCGCAGCUGCACCUGCACCUGCGGGGGGCUCCAGCCUUGGCCUGUGACGGGUCGGUCAGCCCUGCCCAGCUUCCUCCAGCAUGCGCCUCGCCAAGUCUAGGGUCUCCUCGGCUUGACGCACCCGGUAGUAAAACCGGGAGCCCCUCGUCCUGGAGACGGCGUGGGGAGAGCUGGACCCACCCCCCACCAUGCUCUCCACCAGCAAGGGCAGGGGCCGCACCCAACUACCACAGAGCCGCUUCUGUCCCAUGGGCGCCCCGGCCGCAGUCCACAGCACGCACGGGGGUGACACAGGCACUGUCUCCAGGACGCUGGCUUUCUAGAAAACUUUAUUGACAUCUGGGUAUACAAAUGAAUAAAUACAUCAUCACUUCACCCCA